rnacentral:rRNA from 1 species
UACGAAGGGGGCGAGCGUUGCUCGGAAUCACUGGGCGUAAAGCGCACGUAGGCGGCUUUUUAAGUCAGGGGUGAAAUCCUGGAGCUCAACUCCAGAACUGCCUUUGAUACUGAGAAGCUUGAGUCCGGGAGAGGUGAGUGGAACUGCGAGUGUAGAGGUGAAAUUCGUAGAUAUUCGCAAGAACACCAGUGGCGAAGGCGGCUCACUGGCCCGGUACUGACGCUGAGGUGCGAAAGCGUGGGGAGCAAACAGG